UCUCCUAGCUUAAACCCCAAGCAUAUCUCUGAAGAAGAUAAGAUCCCUGAGAGUAAU
rnacentral:tRNA from 1 species